GCCCACCAAGACUAUUACAGGUACGGGCUCUGAGAGGAGUAGCCCGGAGAUGGGUACUGAGACACGGACCCAGGCCCUAUGGGGCGCAGCAGGCGAGAAAACUUUGCAAUGUGCGAAAGCACGACAAGGUUAAUCCGAGUGAUUUGUGCUAAACGAAUCUUUUGUUAGUCCUAGAAACACUAACGGAUAAGGGGUGGGCAAGUUCUGGUGUCAGCCGCCGCGGUAAAACCAGCACCUCAAGUGGUCAGGAUGAUUAUUGGGCCUAAAGCAUCCGUAGCCGGCUCUGUAAGUUUUCGGUUAAAUCUGUACGCUUAACGUACAGGCUGCCGGGAAUACUGCAAAGCUAGGGAGUGGGAGAGGUAGACGGUACUCGGUAGGAAGUGGUAAAAUGCUUUGAUCUAUCGAUGACCACCUGUGGCGAAGGCGGUCUACCAGAACACGUCCGACGGUGAGGGAUGAAAGCUGGGGGAGCAAACCGGAUUAGAUACCCGGGUAGUCCCAGCUGUAAACUAUGCAAACUCAGUGAUGCAUUGGCUUGUGGCCAAUGCAGUGCUGCAGGGAAGCCGUUAAGUUUGCCGCCUGGGAAGUACGUACGCAAGUAUGAAACUUAAAGGAAUUGGCGGGGGAGCACCACAAGGGGUGAAGCCUGCGGUUCAAUUGGAGUCAACGCCGGG
rnacentral:rRNA from 1 species